rnacentral:rRNA from 1 species
GACGAACGCUGGCGGCGUGCCUAAUACAUGCAAGUAGAACGCACAGUUUAUACCGUAGCUUGCUACACCAUAAACUGUGAGUUGCGAACGGGUGAGUAACGCGUAGGUAACCUGCCUGGUAGCGGGGGAUAACUAUUGGAAACGAUAGCUAAUACCGCAUAAUAUUGAUUAUUGCAUGAUAAUUGAUUGAAAGAUGCUAUUGCAUCACUACCAGAUGGACCUGCGUUGUAUUAGCUAGUAGGUGAGGUAACGGCUCACCUAGGCGACGAUACAUAGCCGACCUGAGAGGGUGAUCGGCCACACUGGGACUGAGACACGGCCCAAACUCCUACGGGAGGCAGCAGUAGGGAAUCUUCGGCAAUGGACGAAAGUCUGACCGAGCAACGCCGCGUGAGUGAAGAAGGUUUUCGGAUCGUAAAGCUCUGUUGUAAGAGAAGAACGGGUGUGAGAGUGGAAAGUUCACACUGUGACGGUAUCUUACCAGAAAGGGACGGCUAACUACGUG